rnacentral:rRNA from 1 species
CCUUCGGGUUUUAGUGGCGAACGGGUGAGUAACACGUAAGCAACCUACCCUAAAGACGAGGAUAACCAUUGGAAACAGUGGCUAAGACUGGAUAGGAAGAAAUAAGGCAUCUUAUUUCUUUUAAAAGACCUAGUAAUAGGUAUACUUUAGGAGGGGCUUGCGCCAUAUUAGUUAGUUGGUAGGGUAAUGGCCUACCAAGACGAUGAUGUGUAGCUGGACUGAGAGGUUGAACAGCCACAUUGGGACUGAGACACGGCCCAAACUCCUACGGGAGGCAGCAGUAAGGAAUUUUCGGCAAUGGAGGAAACUCUGACCGAGCAACGCCGCGUGAACGACGAAGUACUUUGGUAUGUAAAGUUCUUUUAUCAAGGAAGAAAAGCAAGUGGCGAACCAUUUGUUUGCCGGUACUUGAUGAAUAAGCCCCGGCUAAUUAUGUGCCAGCAGCCGCGGUAAGACAUAAGGGGCAAGUGUUAUCCGGAAUUAUUGGGCGUAAAGGGUGCGUAGGCGGUCUAGUAAGUCAGUGGUGUAAUGGCAACGCUCAACGUUGUCCGGCUAUUGAAACUGCUAAACUUGAGUUAGAUAGAGGCGAGUGGAAUUCCAUGUGUAGCGGUAAAAUGCGUAAAUAUAUGGAGGAACACCAGAGGCGUAGGCGGCUCGCUGGGUCUUAACUGACGCUGAGGCACGAAAGCGUGGGGAGCAAACAGGAUUAGAUACCCUGGUAGUCCACGCUGUAAACGAUGAGUACUAAGUGUCGGGUUAAACCGGUACUGAAGUUAACACAUUAAGUACUCCGCCUGAGUAGUACGUACGCAAGUAUGAAACUUAAAGGAAUUGACGGGACUCCGCACAAGCGGUGGAUCAUGUUGUUUAAUUCGAAGAUACCCGAAAAACCUUACCAGGUCUUGACAUGUUUUUGCGAAACGGUAGUAAUAUCGUAGAGGUUAUCAGAAACACAGGUGGUGCAUGGUUGUCGUCAGCUCGUGUCGUGAGAUGUUAGGUUAAGUCCUAAAACGAGCGAAACCCUUAUCGUUAGUUGCCAGCACGUUAUGGUGGGGACUUUAACGAGACUGCCAGUGAUAAACUGGAGGAAGGUGAGGAUCACGUCAAAUCAGCAUGCCCCUUAUGACCUGGGCUACAAACGUGAUACAAUGGCUGUUACAAAGGGUAGCUGAAACGUAAGUUCUUGGCCAAUCCCCAAAAACAGUCUCAGUCCGGAUUGAAGUCUGCAACUCGACUUCAUGAAGUUGGAAUCGCUAGUAAUCGCGAAUCAGCAUGUCGCGGUGAAUACGUUCUCGGGGUUUGUACACACCGCCCGUCAAACCACGAAAGUUGGCAAUACCCCAAAAUGGUAGCCUAACUCGUUUAUUCGAGAGGGCGCU